rnacentral:rRNA from 1 species
AUUGAGCGCUGGCGGCAUGCUUUACACAUGCAAGUCGAACGGCAGCGCGGGCUUCGGCCUGGCGGCGAGUGGCGAACGGGUGAGUAAUGCAUCGGAACGUGCCCAGUAGUGGGGGAUAGCCCGGCGAAAGCCGGAUUAAUACCGCAUACGACCUGAGGGUGAAAGCGGGGGACCGAAAGGCCUCGCGCUAUUGGAGCGGCCGAUGUCGGAUUAGCUAGUUGGUGGGGUAAAGGCUUACCAAGGCGACGAUCCGUAGCUGGUCUGAGAGGACGACCAGCCACACUGGGACUGAGACACGGCCCAGACUCCUACGGGAGGCAGCAGUGGGGAAUUUUGGACAAAGGGGGCAACCCUGAUCCAGCCAUGCCGCGUGCGGGAAGAAGGCCUUCGGGUUGUAAACCGCUUUUGUUCGGGAAGAAAUCCUCUGGGCUAAUACCCCGGGGGGAUGACGGUACCGGAAGAAUAAGCACCGGCUAACUACGUG